rnacentral:rRNA from 1 species
AUUGAACGCUGGCGGCAUGCCUUACACAUGCAAGUCGAACGGUAACGGGCCUUCGGGUGCCGACGAGUGGCGAACGGGUGAGUAAUGUAUCGGAACGUACCUUUCAGUGGGGGAUAACGUAGCGAAAGUUACGCUAAUACCGCAUAUUCUGUGAGCAGGAAAGCAGGGGAUCGCAAGACCUUGCGCUGAUUGAGCGGCCGAUAUCAGAUUAGCUAGUUGGUGAGGUAAAGGCUCACCAAGGCGACGAUCUGUAGCGGGUCUGAGAGGAUGAUCCGCCACACUGGAACUGAGACACGGUCCAGACUCCUACGGGAGGCAGCAGUGGGGAAUUUUGGACAAUGGGGGCAACCCUGAUCCAGCCAUGCCGCGUGAGUGAAGAAGGCCUUCGGGUUGUAAAGCUCUUUCGGCCGGGAAGAAUCGUAUGGGUUAAUACCCUGUGCGGAUGACGGUACCGGCAACUAAGAAGCACCGGACGUAACUAACGUGCCAGCAGCCGUAAC